GACGAACCGAGCGAACGUUGUUCGGAAUCACUGGGCUUAAAGAGCGCGUAGGCGGGUGCUCAAGUCCGGGGUGAAAUCCUCCAGCUCAACUGGAGAACUGCCUCGGAUACUGGGUGCCUCGAGUGUGGUAGGGGUGUGCGGAACUAUCGGUGGAGCGGUGAAAUGCGUUGAUAUCGAUAGGAACUCCGGUGGCGAAGGCGGCACACUGGACCACAACUGACGCUGAGGCGCGAAAGCCAGGGGAGCAAACGGG
rnacentral:rRNA from 1 species